CUGAGUGUCUAUUGGCCCGAUUGGGGUUUGAUUUCUUUUACUGUCUAUGGGUUUGAUGGGCUACUGCCAGUUUUCGAAUCAAUCUCGGCAGACGGAUUUCAUACAGUGUGUGGCCCGAUACUUCAGGAACGAACACUGAUCAGUAUCGCGGCUGUUGGCGGCAAAAAUGAAACAUUUAGCGACAGCCGGACGCUAAACGUACAUGGCCCAAUUCUGUAAAGUGACUGUCGGCCCAUUACAAGUGGAAGAGCCACGAGCAGAGCAACUGUUCAGUUUGAAACCAGCAGGACGGCGCGAAACUGUCUCGUUUUGGACACUGCCUGUGAAUCCAGGCCACACUGACCAGAGACCUGCCUGCACUCCUUUGGAUGAAGAAGGCUACCCGUGUAUACAUGUGUGAACCAUUUCUUGUGUUGGAAAAACAGGAGAAUAAGUAAUAUGUUUUUGUUUAGAUGAGCCAAAUCAUAGGAAUCAGCUUUCAUCUAGGCCUGUGUUUUGUGAUGUGUCAUUUUUAGAUGCUUUUGGUUUGCCUCAUCCAUUAUGUCAGCAAAGAACAGGAGUGGGCAGGAAACAUGCGCUGUUGAAAACAUGGCCAACCAACUGGAGCACCCACAAGGCUCUUGUGAAGGAAGUCCACAAGCCUUUGUGCUUCAGGAUGGAUGGAAAGAACUCUUUGAUCAACCCCCACAGAGAGCUGAGGUGGCUAUCAUUUGGAGACACCCCCGGCUGGUAGUGCUGCUGAAGCUGGUGGAGGCAACAAUGAAGCGGCAACAGAAAGAGAAGGCAGGUGGCAAAGGUUGCUGCUAUUGAAAAAUACUUUGAGAGUGAGUAUGUGUGCAUGUAUGUAGCUGGGUAGGUCAUGGUACAUGGUACAAAAAUACAGAAUUUAAAGCACUAGCACAACACUUAACUCACAACCCACAACUACUGACAAUGGAAUUACUCUUUUAGAGUGAGUGAGUGAGGGAGAGAGAUAGAAUAUUUCUGUAAAUGUUUAAUGUUAAUUUAGAAUAAUUUAUUUCUUUGAAUCAUUAUACAGUUUUAAAAUGUUUAAUUGUUUGUGCUUUUGUAUAUGAAAGAAGUCGAUUGUUGUAGAUAAAAGUAGAUUGU